UACGUAGGGUGCAAGCGUUGUUCGGAAUUACUGGGCGUAAAGCGCGUGUAGGCGGCCAUCUAAGUCGGGCGUGAAAUCCCACGGCUCAACCGUGGAAGUGCACUCGAAACUGGGGGUGCUGGAGCGCGGGAGAGGAAAGCGGAAUUCCUGGUGUAGCGGUGAAAUGCGUAGAUAUCAGGAGGAACACCGGCGGUGUAGACGGCUUUCUGGACCGUAGCUGACGCUGAGACACGAAAGCGUGGGGGAGCGAAACAGGG
rnacentral:rRNA from 1 species